AUAUCAAUAAGCGGAGGAAAAGAAACCAACAGGGAUUGCCUCAGUAACGGCGAGUGAAGCGGCAACAGCUCAAAUUUGAAAUCUGGCCCUCUCAGGGUCCGAGUUGUAAUUUGGAGAAGAUGCUUCGGGUGUGGUCCCGGUCUAAGUUCCUUGGAACAGGACGUCACAGAGGGUGAGAAUCCCGUACGUGACCGGUGGCCUCCCCCAUGUGAAGCUCUUUCGACGAGUCGGGUUGUUUGGGAAUGCAGCUCAAAAUGGGUGGUAAAUUUCAUCUAAAGCUAAAUAUUGGCCAGAGACCGAUAGCGCACAAGUAGAGUGAUCGAAAGAUGAAAAGCACUUUGGAAAGAGAGUUAAACAGUACGUGAAAUUGUUGAAAGGGAAGCGCUUGCAACCAGACUUGCGCGCGGCCGAUCAUCCGGUGUUCGCACCGGUGCACUCGGUCGCGCUCAGGCCAGCAUCGGUUUGGGUGGCUAGAUAAAGGCCUCGGGAAUGUGGCUCUCUUCGGGGAGUGUUAUAGCCCGAGGUGCCAUGUAGCCUACCCGGACCGAGGACCGCGCUUCGGCUAGGAUGCUGGCGUAAUGGUUGUAAGCGA
rnacentral:rRNA from 1 species